rnacentral:tRNA from 1 species
GGGCCCGUAGCGCAGCCUGGACAGCGCGGCAGCCUCCGGAGCUGCAAGUCGAGGGUUCAAAUCCCCCCGGGCCCGCCA